CCUACGGGAGGCAGCAGUGAGGAAUAUUUGUCAAUGGGCUUACGCCUGAACCAGCCAAGUCGCGUGAGGGAAGACUGCCCUAUGGGUUGUAACCCUCUUUUGUCAGGGAACAACGCCGGCUACGUGUAGCCGGACUGAGAGUACCUGAAGCAAAAGCAUCGGCUAACUCCGUGCCAGCAGCCGCGGUCAUACGGAGGAUGCGAGCGUUAUCCGGAUUUAUUGGGUUUAAAGGGUGCGUAGGCGGAAGGCCAAGGCAGCGGUAAAAUUGCGGGGCUCAACCUCGCUCCGCGGUUGAAACUGGCGUUCGUGAGUGGGCGAGAAGGAUGCGGAAUGGGUGGUGUAGCGGUGAAAGGCAUAGAUAGCACGCAGAA
rnacentral:rRNA from 1 species